rnacentral:rRNA from 1 species
UGGGGAAUAUUGCACAAUGGGCGCAAGCCUGAUGCAGCCAUGCCGCGUGUGUGAAGAAGGCCUUCGGGUUGUAAAGCACUUUCAGCGGGGCGGAAGGCGAUAAGGUUAAUAACCUUGUCGAUUGACGUUACCUGCAGAAGAAGCACCGGCUAACUCCGUGCCAGCAGCCGCGGUAAUACGGAGGGUGCAAGCGUUAAUCGGAAUUACUGGGCGUAAAGCGCACGCAGGCGGUCUGUCAAGUCGGAUGUGAAAUCCCCGGGCUCAACCUGGGAAAUGCAUUCGAAAAUGGCAGGCUAGAGGCUUGUAGAGGGGGGUAGAAUUCCAGGUGUAGCGGUGAAAUGCGUAGGGAUCUGGAAGAAUACCGGUGGCGAAGGCGACCCCCUGGACAAAGACUGACGCUAAGGUGCGAAAGCGUGGGGAGCAAACAGG